AGACUGGAGACGGAAGUCUAGAUACAGAUGCAACGUUACUUUGUAAACUUUAGGACAACAUGCUUCGGUGUGGAGCUUUUCAUGUUUAUAACAUUUACUUACGUUUAAUAAACAAGUGCUUAUUCGUUUAAUUUGAAAUGCACAUAGUUUUCAAGAUAGCCUGAUAAAGCUGUGGUAGUAAGUAAAUUAAGCGAUGGAAAAGCCGGAUGAAGCCGCAGUCGGUGUGCAGGAGUCUGCAGAAGCAGAGGGGCCGCAGUCUCUCUCUUUUCCAGAGGUUUUCCGCAGGAUUCAAGCGGGAGAGGAAGUUCCCGGACUCCAGAAGCUGGAUAUCAAGCCUUGCCACGACCAGCCCACGGUUUCUCAGAUGCCCAGAAAAACAAAACCAUGGGAAAAAUAACUUGUGCCUCAAAAUUAUAACACGCGGACUGGUUUAUCUCUUGUAAAGUAAAACAUUUUGUAUUAUUUUACACUAAUGAAUAGCAGAUCUGUGGAUAUACGUGUAAGAUAAUACAUGCUACUUUAAGAUUUAGCAUCAAAACCUGCCUGAUACCUACAACUUUAAAAGGUUCACGCCAAAAUAAAAACGUUUGGCUCGUUUGACCAUUCAAGAUGUAUGAAAGUUUUUUUCUUAGUUUAGUAUAUUUUGAAAAAUGUUCAAAACCUGUAUCCUUCAACUUUCUUCGCAUUUGUUUUAUUGAUGUAAAUGGUUGGAUUUUUCCAACAAUUAUCUUUUGUGUAACGGAAUACAAAACAAUGAUUUGGAGCAA